AGCCACUCAGUCGCCUCUUCACGCUCAUUCCCCUCGCUCACCACUCCCCCAAAUGCCUUGCCCGCAGCGGUGACACACAUCCCCCCUCACCUGCGUCGGUGACUCAGCCACGUCGCCGCCCUUCUCCUCAGGCGUUGCCGCCUCGCCUUCUCGUCCGCGCUGCCUCUCCCUCUCGCCCGCAUCCUCUCCGCCACGCUCGAGCCAAAGUUGGUUGUUUUAGCGAGGUCGAGUAGGAGCGUGAGGAACGUGUGCACGGCGGCCUUGUCCUGCUCGACGACGGCGGCGACGGACGCUAGCGCUCCUCGUCGCCAUCGACCUGCAAGGAGGAGCGCCAUCUUGGACGCUGCUGGUAUUCCGUCGCUGUUACGUGUUCGCCGUCACCUGCUCCCAGGUCACCCCGGAAGUCGAGCUCCCCACGCUCGACCUGCCAGAUGUACUGUGGCCAAGAACUGCUCUACCGCAGGAGUAGAUUGGAAAGGCUGUUGUUGCUCCUGAACGAUGCGGCUGCUGCUGCCACUACCUCUCAUCGAUUCGGGCAUGGCAAAGACCACUCAGUUGCACUACUCCAUGUGUAGCUCACUAAACUUGGAUAGCACAUUCUUGGAGUGGAUCUGCAUUUCAAAAAGUUUACAAGUGGGAGUACAUGGAGUACUACAGUUCAAAUCGAGGAGAAGAUGGUGCAUGCUCCGUGAUGAUGCCGCCGUCACCUACGACUUCCUCGACCACCACCACCACCACCACGACUUCCUCGAACAUGGUGAGUACUGAGUACUCCUCCAAUGCUUGUACUCCUAUCAAUGUUUACUGCUGUAAUCAUGGGGUACUUAGCUGCUGUAAUCAUGGCCGGAGUAAUGCAACAUUAGUUGGUAAGAAACAAUGUCAGUAUGAAACCUCUCUACGGUAACUAUUUUUUCUGUCAGGAACAGUACAAGGUUUCAGCUUUAUUUGCCCCAUUCCAUGUUUUGAAAUCAUUACCAAAUCGUAUGAAGCAUGGUAACAAUGUUCAAGCUGAUUCGGUGAAUCUGUAGGCUAAACUCUAUAUCUUACACCUCAAUGUGUGUUCCCCAAAUAUUCAGCAUUGCAAACAAACAAAUAAAAUAAAAGAUUCACUAUGGAUGAUAGUGUAAAACAAUAUAUCAUAUUUUUUUUUCCUGGGAGCAUCAUGGACCAACUUGUCAAUGUAACCUCUAUUGUAUACUACAUCUACACCCCUGUCAAUGAACAUGUGCACUAUUGAACUACCUAUGCAUCUACAUCUCUAUGAAGAUACAUAUACAACAGCAUCUUGGAUGAAUACUAUUUAUAAGGGGUCUACUUCAGUAUACACACCUUAAGUGAGUCAAUGGUGGUGAUUAAAACUUCCAUAGAACCAAGAUAAGCCUUCCAUAGAACCAAGAUAGCAUUAUCUCUCAGAUUAUCUCUUUGGCCAUUUUCUCUCUUUAGGAGAAGCACACAAAGCAGAUUUUACAAUUCAUUUCAGAUUCCACUUACACUCUACUGGGUAACUGGAAUUUGCUACUCCAAUAAGUAACAAACCACUAACUCCAUCUAAAAUUUGCAUAGCCACACUGAGUUAUAUAGAUUCCAAAUUGUAAUUAGCUACCUUGAACAAUCAUCAUUCAUGCAUGCAUAUUAUAUUUUCAAAAUUGACAUUUUCAUUCAUUUGUGGCACAAAUUUCAUGUACCAUGUAUAUAUAUACGUACAGUUCCGCGCAGCCACCAAUUGCCUGCUUGAUGCAAACCUCACGCACCUCCAUCAUCCAUGCCUCUAUUUUAUUCCUCCAUCACCCAUCAUCGCCCGGGCUGGCGUACAAUCUAGAUUUGUAACAAUAGGAAGUGGAGGAAAGGGGAGGUGUGGUUUGAAUGUGGGUGCCAGUAAUGUAUUGCACUUACAUAAUGUAUUCUGCAAGGUUUUUGAGUCGCCGCGAGCCCUGCGGCUCGGCGUAUAGUCGACGAAAGUCGCUAUAUAGUCGCCAUAAGUCGCUGUAUAGUCGCGAGUCGCCCUGAUUUUUGGAAAACGACUUGGCGAUUAGUCGGCGACUAUACAGCGACUAAUCAGCGACUCAAAAACCAUGGUAUUCUGCUUACCCACAUCAGCCAACAAAAAUAAGAAAUUGUAUCACCAGGUGUAGGUAGUAAAUAUUAAAUAGGUAGAAUAUUUUUGACAAGAGAUAUAGAAAACACAAGAAUGUACGGUGAACAAUCAAGAAAAUAUUAAUGGACCUUGUGCUUUAGAGUGGCAUGCUUCCUCCAUAUCUUCUGUAAUGAUAUAUCCCUGAUACAAGCACCCCAAGAACUGAGAAUUGGUGUGCCCACAAUGUACAUUCCCAACAAACAUAGCGCGGUUCUGUUAGUUAAAGAGGUAAAAAUACUAAGAAUUCAUACAUAAGAGCAAGCCAAAUUGGAUGCCAGGAGCGCUGUGGAACUCCCUCAUGGCUUGGUGCAAACUGUAAGUGUCCCUAAAAUAGGCACUCGAGUGUCAGGCCUACAUUAUUUUCUAUGAAAGGAAUUUGAACAUCUCACAACAUAUUAAUUUGACAUAGCUUUAGAUAGCAACUCAGUGACCUUUUUCUUGAAUGCAAAGGGUUAAUUAAAAUUGCUUAAAAUUGCAGUUCUUGGAGUAGUAGAACAGGUUGCUUGAGAAAAAUUAAGACAUGCCCAGAACUUAAUUAGGCGGACUAAUUAAGUACUCCCUCCGUUCGAAAAUAGAUGACCCAACUUAGAAAGCUGGGUCAUCUAUUUUGGAACGGAGGGAGUAUAAAAUAUCCAAUGCAUCCGCGGCAAGGAGAAGUUCAAGAUACUUAGAAACAUAGUAACAGACUACUAUAGCUUUGUAUCUUGACGAAAGUGUGAGAAAAUUGCUUCUUUGUCAUGCGUACCAAGAAAAUCAACGCUCGUAUACCUUGACCUCACAUCGAUUGCCUAGCCGUGUCUUGCUCUCCUAGUUCCUCAACCUCGACGGCGUUGUUGUGAUUCCCACCACUCUCAGCAACCGCCGGCCCUUGCACGGCCAGAAACAAAUCAGCGAGGAGCAGGGAUCACAUGGGGAAGAAGUCACAUGAGCACGAUAACCCAUUACCUUAUCACCUGCUUUUCACUCCUGCAUGGGAACCGGUGUUGUUGUCACCAUGGACGUCCAGCUUCUCCAUCCAUCGCCCCAGAUCUGUCAGUCUUCGUCCAUCUACUGGGACGGUGAUUGUGGUGGUGGCGACCUGCAUAGUCGGGCACGAAAAGACACAGAGCAUGGCAGCGAUGGAGUAAACGGAGGGGUUGACCCUGCCGGUGAGUGCGGUGGCGUCCGUCGGCGUGGGCAUUCCGGCGAUCAACAUUCAUACGCUACCUAGCACGGACGUACCUCUCCUUCUCCUCGACCUCUGCCGUCGCCUCCUCAUCUCGGACAACCACAACCACCCACCACACAGUCGCAUGAGGCAUGCCCCAUCCGCCGGCGAAGACGACGGUGAAGGAGCCAUCAGAUCGGAGCCCUCCUGAGGCAUAAUCUUCUCUAGGGCUGCCGGAUCAGUGCCCCGUCGGAGCUCUAGGGUUUGGAAGGGAGAAAAUAGUGGGGUUGGGGAUUAGGAGACGGGCGUUUUCUGCUGGUAAUUAGGAA
rnacentral:rRNA from 1 species